rnacentral:snRNA from 1 species
GCUUGCUUCGGCAGUACAUAUACUAAAAUUGGAAUGAUGCAGAGAAGAUUAGCAUGGCCCCUGUGCAAGUAUAACAUGCAAAUUUAUGAACUGUUCCAUAUUUUU